rnacentral:rRNA from 1 species
GCUACGGGAGGCUGCAGUGAGGAAUAUUGGUCAAUGGACGAGAGUCUGAACCAGCCAAGUAGCGUGAAGGAUGACUGCCCUAUGGGUUGUAAACUUCUUUUAUAAAGGAAUAAAACGAGGCACGUGUGCCUUUUUGCAUGUACUUUAUGAAUAAGGAUCGGCUAACUCCGUGCCAGCAGCCGCGGUAAUACGGAGGAUCCGAGCGUUAUCCGGAUUUAUUGGGUUUAAAGGGAGCGUAGAUGGGUUGUUAAGUCAGUUGUGAAAGUUUGCGGCUCAACCGUGAAAUUGCAAUUGAGACUGGCUGUCUUGAGUACAGUUGAGGUAGGCGGAAUUCGUGGUGUAGCGAUGAAAUGCUUAGAUAUCACGAAGAACCCCGAUUGCGAAGGCAGCUUACUAAGCUGUGACUGACAUUGAUGCUCGAAAGUGUGGGUAUCAAACAGGAUUAGAUACCCCAGUAGUC